AACCCUCACCGUCGCCGCCGCCGCCGGGCAUGGCCGAGCAGCUGCAGCCACCGUUCAACAACGCCGACCCAGCCACGGCGGCCGACCCGCGCGAGAGGGAGCGAUGCGCGGAGCUGAUGCUAGCCUACAUCUACAGCAACCUCCCCAACUGCCCCCUCUACGACGGCACGCGCUUCACCGCCCUCGCCGCCUCCCGCGCGACGUCCUACGCAACGUCCUCGCCCGCCUCCCCGUCAAGGACGCCGCGCGCACCGCCGUGCUCUCCUCCCGCUGGCGCGCGCUCUGGCGCUCCACGCCCCUCGUCCUCGCCGACAUCCACCUCCUCCCCAAAGCCCAGGCCUUGCGCCCCAAGCCGUCCAACUCGCCGGCCGUCACCGCCGCCGUCUCCCGCAUCCUCGAGGCGCACCCGGGGCCCUUCGCCUGCGUCCACCUCAUCUGCAGCCAGAUGGACGGGUACCGCGCCCGCCUCGCGCGCUGGCUCCAGCUCCUCGCCGCCAAGGGCGCCCAGGACCUCGUCCUCGUCAACCGCCCGUGGCCACUCGACGUGCCCCUCCCGGCCACGCUCUUCACCAUCACCACCCUCACCCGCCUCCACGUCGGCGUCUGGAAGCUGCCGGGCACGGCCGCACUGCGUGGCGCCUCCUUUCCCCGCCUCCGCGAGCUCGGCCUCUACUUCGUCGAAAUGGAGCAGGGACUCGUCGACUCCCUCGUCGCCAGGAGCCCCGUCCUGGAGAUCCUCAACAUUGUGGGAUGCAUCAAUGGCGGGUUGCGUCUACGUCUCGUCAGCCAGAGCCUCCGGUGCGUGCAAAUCUGCGGCUCUGUUCUGGAGGACAUCGCCGUGGUGAAGGCUCCGCGCCUCGAGAGGCUCAUCCUGAUUGAAUCUUGCAAAAUCGCCCGUGGCUUGUGCACCAGGCUCAGGAUUGUCGAUGCUCCCAAGCUGCACAUUUUUGGAUACUUAGAGCCAGGACAGGUCCUUGAGGUCGGAGAAACAGUCAUCAUGCCUGGGAUAAAGGCGAGCGCAAGUGCCAUGCUCACAAGCGUGAAGAUUCUGACUUUGAAUGUGCGUUUCGGGGUUCGCAAUGACGUGAAGAUGGUGCCCACCUUCCUCAAAUGUUUUCCCAAUGCUGAGAGACUGCAUAUUGUGAGUGAUAAAUGUGAUAAAUCAACUGGUGAACACCUCACCGUCAAGUUCUGGGAGGAGUCUGGUCCCAUUGAGAACGUCGUCUCGCGCGUCAACGUGAUGACUUUCCGUGAGUUCAAAGGGGACCGUGGCGAGGUUGGCUUCCUGGAGUACGUCUUUCGGAGUGCGCGGGUGAUGGAGAUGGUAGCUAUUUUCAUGGCCAAUCCAAGCUCCACGCCGUUCUCGGAGGACGAGGCGUUUGUCAAGGCGCAAUACAGCGCUAGAAACAUUGCAUGUAAAUCCUGCAAAAAGUGCAUCAUCUGGAGUAGCCAUCCUGCAGUGGCUUGGAGCCUCAAAAUCGGGGCAGAUUUCUCCUUCGAGGACCCGUUUACGGUGAGGGAGGAGGACAGCUGAGCUUAUAGUUUCUGUGGAGAAGUGGAUCAGUUUUUUUAUGCAAACUGUGAAGUGCGGCGGUAUCUGUUGCUCGCUGUGCUACCCUUGCGACGGUCUGUCAAAUUUGAGGCUUGGUGCCUGGUAAGCAGCAGACUAAUCAGCUGAUAUUCGUGACUUGCCAUGUAAUGUAACCCGUGUCGAUCAGUUUCGUAUGCUCCUUGAAAUGUUCCAUUGCUUGGAGUUGCUGAUUGUGAUUUGGUGAUGAUAUAUUUAUAUAUUGCUCAUGUUUAUCAUGUGAUCAACUACAAAGCUUAACAUCUUUUUUCCUGCAUGUUUAUUUGUGUUGAGACAUAAUGCACAACUUGUGAAAAACAGUUUGCAAUAAGAGUAAUACCAUAGUUGUUGCAGUUUGA